UCUAGGGUUUCAUCUAGAAAAACCUAGGAAAACAAGUAUUAAAUGGGGAUUACAAGCUACCAACCUCAAGAGAAGCCCCAAUCCAAGCUCAAAACCAAGUAGGGUUGAGGUUUGAUCCUUCACAAAGCUCCAACCGCAAGUUCAAAGCCACCAAAGGUGAGAAAUGAGGAAGAAGAUGAUGCUCCAAGGCCUCUAAGCAAGCUCUUCUCCUCUCCUUCUCCUUCUUCUCCUUCCCUUUCUCUCUCUAGAAGUGUAGGAAGAGUGUGAGGGAGAGAAAAAUGAGAGUGAGAGGGGAGGAGAGGCUGUGUAGCACACUGGACCUCUGCAAAUCACUACUCGACGCAUGAUUUGGAGUUGGCGACCGUAGUGUUCGCAUUGAAGCUGUGGCGCCACUAUCUUUAUGGCGAGCGGUGUGAAGUAUACACGGAUCACAAGAGCUUAAAGUACCUGUUUACUCAGAAGGAGUUGAACUUGAGGCAAUGCAGAUGGUUGGAGCUGCUCAAGGAUUAUGAUCUGACGAUUCUUUACCACCCGGGCAAGGCUAACGUGGUGGCGGAUGCGCUAAGUAGGAAAUCGAUGGAAAACUUAGCGAUGCAUGUUGUGACUCAACCGCAGUUGAUCGAGCAGAUGAAGCGGUUGGAGUUGGAGAUAGUGACUUCUGACACGCCUAUGAGGUUGAUGACAUUGGUGGUACAACCUACCUUGUUGGACAGAAUCAAAGAAAAGCAAGCUUCCGAUGUGGAGUUGCAAAAGAUUAGAGGAAAAAUGGUUGAUGGUUGCACCGGCGAUUUCCUUGUGGACGACCGAGGGUUGAUGCGCUUUCGAGGACGACUAUGUGUUCCGGCGGAUUCGGGAAUUAAAGAAGAUAUUCUUCAAGAAGCGCACCGGGCGCCCUAUGCUAUACAUCCGGGUGGCACCAAAAUGUAUAAGGACUUAAAGUUGCUCUAUUGGUGGCCUGGGAUGAAAAAGGAUGUUGGCGAGUUUGUCGCUAGAUGCUUAACUUGCCAACAAGUAAAGGCUGAGCACCGAGUUCCCGCGGGAAAACUUCAGAGUUUGCCUAUUCCCGUGUGGAAGUGGGAGAAGAUCACCAUGGACUUUGUGACAGGAUUGCCACGCUCACAGGCGGGGCAUGACGCUAUUUGGGUGAUCGUGGAUAGGUUGACGAAGUCGGCGCACUUCAUACCUAUUCAUACGACUUGGACCGGAGAGAAGCUCGCACAAGUGUACCUUGAUGAGAUUGUGCGACUUCAUGGAGUGCCUACAUCGAUUGUAUCUGAUCGCGACACGCGCUUCGUGUCUCACUUUUGGAGGAGUCUACAGGACGCCUUAGGCACCCGAUUGGAUUUCAGUACAGCAUUCCACCCGCAGAGUGAUGGACAGUCGGAGCGCACUAUUCAGACCUUAGAGGAUAUGCUCCGGGCAUGUGUGAUAGACUUCCAGGGAGGAUGGUCGCAGCAUCUACCUAUGGCGGAGUUUGCUUAUAACAACAGUUAUCAAGCAAGCAUCAAGAUGGCGCCCUUCGAAGCACUUUAUGGACGGAAGUGUAGAUCGCCACUUCAUUGGAGUGAAGUCGGCGAGAGAUUGGCUUUAGGCCCUGAUGUGCUCCAGGAAGCUGAGGACAAGGUUCGAAUUGCUCGGGAGCGACUUUUGACGGCGCAGAGUAGACAGAGGAGCUACGCCGAUCGACGACGGCGAGACUUGGAGUUCCAAGUUGGAGACCAUGUUUUCUUGAAGGUCUCGCCAACUAGAGGAAUCAAGAGAUUCGGGAUUCGGGAAAAGUUGAGCCCCCGUUUCAUUGGACCGUAUGAGAUCUUGGAGCGUGUAGGUCCGGUGGCGUAUCGACUUGCUCUACCACCGAACCUAUCCGGCGUGCACAACAUCUUUCAUGUAUCGGUCCUUCGGAGGUACAUCCAUGAUCCAGCUCAUGUUUUGGAAGCUGUACCAGUGGAGCUGCGCGAGGAUCUGAGCUUCGAGGAGCAACCCGUGAAGAUUCUAGCUAGCGAAGUGAAGAAGCUGCGGAAUCGGGAUAUUCCGUAUGUAAAGGUCCUUUGGAGCAAUCACGGGGAGCGAGAGGCCACGUGGGAGCUAGAGAGUGCGCUGCAGGAGCGCUAUUCCCAUCUUUUUCAGAUGGAGUCUUGAGGUAUGCUUUGACUUUCGAGUUUCGCGGACGAAACUCCUUUUUAGGAGGGGUGAAUGUAGCACACUGGACCUCUGCAAAUCGCGAGGUUCGAGUGUUUGAUCUGUGUGCCGAGCUAUUUCAGACUUUCUGAAGGGUCGUAGACAGUGUUCCGACCCAUGGCUCGCAUCCCGAGAAUUGAGGGUUUAAACCUGUACCAAAAUCCCAAAAGGUUGGAUUGUUGGAGUACUCUCGGAUUAGCCUCAGCCAGGCUGUGUACCGGCACAGCCUUGAUGGUUGUACCGGUACAGAAUUUGUACCGAUACGCCUUGAUGGUUGUACCGGUACACAAUAGGUUUUCUGCCAACCCGAGGCUCGGGUUGGGCAGUUUCGCAGAAGGUGUACCGGUACACUUUCCCGUGUACCGGUACACAAUGCAGAAGCUGGGCUGUUUCGUGGGGGGUGUUUUUGCAAUUGUUGCAACCUCUAUUUAAGCACACCCUAGCCCCCUUGUGAGCUCUUUUGAGCCCUAGAUCAGUGAAGAACAGGUGAGAACUCCUCCCCUUUGGAUUUUUCUCCAUUUUUGAUGGUUUCUUUGUGGGUUUUGAUCUCUUUUCUCCUCUCUUUCUUGCUUUUGUGGGUUUUCCACCAUUGGAGAAGCUUGAGAUCUUGGUUGGAGCUUCUUUGGAGAUCAACCUUCAACCCUAGGGAACUUGGAGCUUGGUUUUGAGCUUUUUGUGAGGUUAGUAAGCCUAAUCUUUUCUUUGGAUUAAGUUUUGGUAGCUUCUACUAGAUCAAACCCUAGAUUUGGCAUAUUAGGGUUAAAAAUGGGGAUUUUUGAUUUGAGGACUAUGGAACCAAAUUGAUUGGUUUAGAACUUUGAUUUAGGUUGGAUUUGAAGGAAUCUAACUCCCUUUUGGGGAUCGAGAGAGAUUCUUUAGCUUUCGGUGAGUUUUCUCCAACCUAGCUAUAGAAGCUUAAUGAUUGAACUUAGUGUCGUUCGUUUCGGUUAGGUGACACUUGUUUUCUUACCUCUAGGGUACUAGGAGGCUAGAGGACAUCUUCGUUGGAGCAAACGAAGGGUUUCGUUUACUAUCGGCGGGUUUGGCUUCGGGGAAAUGGGGUGAGAUGGCCCCUAUGCUCUUUCUACUUGUUGUAAAAUAUUUUUAAAUUCAUUUCUAUGCUAAAUGGGAUUUAUAUGAAUUUUAGAGCACUUAAAAUGCAUGCCUUGUGUAUCAUGAAAAUUUCACUAUAUAGUAGAGCUAUAUGAGUAGAAUGCAUGCAUAUGGGAAAAGUGUUUAUUUUGCAAGUAGAAAAUACAUCUCUUAUGAGAAUUAUGACUUGGAAUAUGUACCUUGGAACAUAGUUGCCAUGCUUUGACAUAGAGAACAAGAGUGUCAUCAAGGGGCACUUGAGACUAGUAAACUAUGAAACUGCAACAUAGAGACAUAUUGAUAGGCCACUCCAUAUCUGCUAUAUUCCAUGUUAGAGACAUGAUGACAUAGGGAUAGGCCAUUGAGAUACUUGACACAUUCCAUGUUUUAGACAUGAGGACUUGGUACUUGCGACAGAUCGUUUGAUUACUUGCCAUUGUGCUCAUUCGCACAUGCUUGUGAGGGUCGCUCCCUACAAGCCGACACUCCGGAGAUGGCCAUCGCGAUACAUAUUCGCCGUGCGGGAUUGGGCGCCAAAGUGGAUUGCCGUGGGCCAGGCUCAUUCCUAGGGUGGGGAUGUUGACUACCACGGGGCCAUUAGGCUCGGCACCGGCCAGACAGCCUACGGGUGGGUCUCAGGGCCAUAGACAGCCUUCGGGUGGGUCUCUUCAGAUUUGACUUUAUAUACCCAUUAUGACAUGUGGACAGAUGAGGACUUAGUGUACUACUUGGACAUUGACUAGAAUAGUAAACAAAGGAACUUUACUAUUUCACAAUGUGAACAUCAUUCUAGUUGGAGACUUUUACUUCAUGCAUAGUUAUUUUCAUACUCAUGCUAUUUAUGCUAAGUAAGAUAUCAUGUUGUAGUAAGUUACAUUUUUACUUACCUUUCGCCUUUCUACUUUUAUAGUCACUGACAUCUUUUGUAGCUUUGGGCCUUGUGGUGCAUUCACUGAAGCCAGUAAUUGCCCACUGGGAACUAUUUUUAAUAGUUCUCACGCCCCCGUUUUAUGGUUUACUUUUCAGAGCCUUCGGCACCGGCGGAGGCACGGGAUCGCGGCAAGGGGAUCGCUUAGCUAGCUAGCGAGGAGCGGUAUUUUGCCUAGGUGGUUACUCUUUCUUUUGUAUUUUGAGAGAGUGCGAGAUUUUUGUAUCCAUGUAUAGAGACCACCUAUGUACCUACCUAUAGCACUUGCAUUUGGGAUUUCCUAUUGUACUUACUUUAUGUUUUAUUUAGUGGAUUUACAGUUUUCCUUAUCCUUUGUUGUAGCAUUUAGACAUUUAUUAUGCUCUGAUACUCCUAGAUGUCUUUUAAUAUUGCUUUUAUUAUUGUUGUUUUUAGACGCCUUAUAUGUUGUAGACAUAUGGCGGGUCUGGGCACGCGCCGGGCGGGCUUCCGCUGGGUCCCGGGGCGUGACAGGCUGCUUAUAGCCUCUAAAGUAACAAAAUCCACAUAGGCCCCUCAAAAACUCAAAUUUACAUCAGCCCGGACUGGGCAGUUUUCGCCUAGAGGGACCGGUCUCCCCGACCUGGGACCGGUCUCUCAGCCUGCCCCCGAAAAUCCAACGUUCGGGAACCGGUCUCUCCCUGCGCGGGACCGGUCUCUCCCCGCGCAGACGCGCUCGGGGACCGGUCUCAAC
rnacentral:lncRNA from 1 species